rnacentral:lncRNA from 1 species
GGGGUGUAGAUGGCAGAGGGCAUCCUCAGAGCUCGUUACAGGAGAGCUCUGCUGUUCCAUUCAGUUCACGCUUCCCAGGCCUCUGUGCAGUGAUGGAGGCCCACGUGGACCAUGGAUGCUGCAGGUUUCCACGGGUUGUGUGAGCCCAUGUCUCAUUCAGCCUCUCUCUCCCUUUUACCUUAGACUGGAGGCUGGCUUCUCAAGGGAAUAUUCUGCUGGUUCCCAAUGAUGCUAAGGAUAUAGAAGUAUUAGCAGCGCUAUUGAGUUUAGUUUCCCAUGUUUAUCGAGAGUUUGACAAUUUUUCUCUUUCAGGUUGAAUAAAUAAAACAGAACGGGGCAAGUCAUAUAUCUCUAUACACUAGGAAAGUGGAGGUAGUCUGAUGAAACUACUGAAAAGUCUGAAGUGUCACAUUUGUGAAGGGAUGAUGUUUUAUGACCCUCUGGUAUGUAGUCUACUCCUCAGUUGUUGCUAAGUAGACGUCUUUCAGAAUCUUUAACAACAAGCGUAUUCGAUAUUUUGUAGUGAUCUUUCCUUUAAUAAAUACGUAUUUUGGAAGCCUCAGAUGCUGGGGCUACAGUGAGGAUGAGACAGAGUCCAUGCUUUCACUGGCCUUCAAGUCUAGGGGAGUGUUCAUUGUUAAAGAAGUGUACACCUCUACAAAGAGAAAUGUGUAAAUUCAGACCGUGACCAGCUCUUCAGUGUUAGGAAGAAAAGAAAAAGAAAGUACGGUGAAGAAUGACUAGACAGUCGGAGAUGGUGUGUACUUUAGGCGGUAACCUCUGAUCCUCGAGCACAGUAAUGAGAAGGAGCCCGUUCUGUAGAGAUUCCAGGGCCGACACAACAGCAAGAGCAAGGCCCUCGGAUGGGCCUGAGCUGGGCCCAUUCAAGGAACAGAAAAAAGACAAAAGCAGCCAGAGCCCAGUGAGUGAAAAAGUGUCUGGCCUUGACGUUGCAGGUGAGCUGAGACUGAGACAUUCAACCCUGUGGCCCUGAUGAAAAGCCCAAAGGUCGCCCUGUGUGGGAUGGACUGCUGCUUUAGGAUCUGUGUGCAUACAGUGUGUUGAAAACACUCAAGUUCAUGUAUGCAGUAUCCCUUGCAUCGUUAAGUUGCUUGGCUAAUCUCUCUUUAUGCAGAGUAUGGAGGGGAAAAAUCAGCAUAUAUUGGAUUUUCACGAGAAUUCUGAGACGAUUCCAGUUGGAAUGAAAUCAAAUGCCAUUCUGUGCCGGACAGCAUUGCAAUGGAUGUCACGGGCAGUUAUCCGCACUGGCUCUUAAUCUCAUUUGGGGUGAGGAAUUUUCCUUGAGCAGUUCAGAAGGGAGCAGCCUUCUCUUGUGUGUAUUCUCUCGCUAUCUGCACUGAGUGCUGAGAUCCCAGAAACCACUCCGAGCCCCAGCAUGUCUGCUUUGUCAUAAACUUCCAAGCGGUGGCUGGGGUUUGCCUUCACAGAAAAUGCAGAUGACGCAUUUGUGUUUGUUGCGUCUAAGCCGGCCUGAGUUUUGCCGCUGCCGGGGGUGGUUGGCGUCAAACCAGCUUCUGGGAUGCUUGUAGCAUCUCUGGUGUUUGGGUCACUCUUUCUCUGUGGGUUCCUGAGCUUACACUGAUAAGUAAAGCCACGUUUGCUUUGUGAAGCUCAGCAGUUCUCAGCAGUAAAGAGAUAAGACAGAGGGAAAAAAAUAAGUAUUUUUGGGAGAAAAGAAGCUAUUUCUGUUUGUAACAGGCCCUAAGUACACUUUUUUUGAAGACUUUGUUGAAAUUUCCCAAUCUCACACUGCAUUUACUUGGAUGUCUGGAAUGUCCCAUAAACUUUGACGUUGGACGCAGGGUUUGACUGACCUCUUGUCGCUGGUAGCACCAUUUCUUCUGUCAGAAGCACCAUAUUUUCAGAACGUAAGCUGCAGAAUGUUAGCCAGGAGUGGGGACAUUGGUUUUAGAGAAUUAGGAAAUAAAUGUAACUCAUGCUCAGUCGGGGAGUGGCUGCAUUUGCUGUCGAGACCCCUGGGUCUAGGAGACCCUCUUUUGAGUUUUCAGGAGUCACUGCCUCCCAAGUCCCGCCAGCUUUGUGCUGGAAAUUUAUUGAAAUCAUCUUUGAUACUCACAGCAACCCAGCGAGUAGGCACAAAUACUCUCCUGGUCUUGCAGAUGAGACAACUAAGCCAUCAAGAGGUUGGGCACUUGCCCAGGCAGAGAAGGGCAAGCAGGCUCUGCCCUGGCCCCGCUGCCUGCUUUGCUUGUGCUCCGAGCUGGGAGCCUUCCUCCUUGAAGCCAGUAUUCAAGGAUCCAGACAAGAUCUUAAUUGGGUCCCAUGAAGUUACCUCUUGUUAAGAAAAUGAUUCGUACCUGGGAGCGAGCACCGGAGAGCGGAGGAUCGAAGCUCUAGAUGGUGUGUAAGUGGCAUUUAAUUUAUCCAGGACAUCAGCCAUCCUCAUCCCCAAAGCACUUCUUCCUUGGUCGGAUGGAUUUGUCUCCUCCGCAUCUCUGGAUAUUUUUCCAAAUGAGGCUCAGUCUCUCCCCAGAGUAUAUAGGCCAGCGGGGACCAGCUGUGCAGGGCUCUGCCACCUGCUGUUGCCUCGGUGAGUCAUUCUCACACCCUCCAGUCCCUACAGCUGGGGAAGCGGAGCCUAAGCCUGUUCUUCCAAACCUGUUAUCUUGUUAUUUCCAGUCCUUCCUCCACAGCUCCCCGCACAUGCACCUGCACUUACAUAUGCAAUUGGUCACUGACACACACAUAAUGACACAUAUACAACUACACACACACAUGUCACUGAAACACAUACAUGCACAACCACACAUAAACACAUGUACAGUUAGUCACUGACACAUGCACACACACACUCACACCUGCACACAUCUCUUAAUCUAAGUGCCUUUAAGCUUAAAAAAGAGAUUUGGGAAGUUCCCGUCGUGGUGCAGUGGUUAACGAAUCCGACUAGGAACCAUGAGCUUGCAGGUUCGGUCUCUGCCCUUGCUCAGUGGGUUAACGAUCCGGCGUGGCCGUCAGCUGUGGUAUAGGUCGCAGACGCGGCUCGGUCCUGCGUUGCUGUGCCUCUGGCAUAGGCUGGUGGCUACAGCUCCGAUUCAACCCCUAGCCUGGGAACCUCCAUAUGCCGCAGGAGCGGCCCAAAGAAAUAGCAAAAAAAAA